AUGGAGCAAACAAGAGGUACUUCAGUUCCCUUUGCUGGCCACCAGAUUGUAGCUGGACCCCUCAGGGUCGGAGACGAUGGGCAUCAGAGAAGUCCUGCCUGCACCUUUGUGGAGGUGCCUCUCCAAGACUGCCCAGAGCCCCUGCCCAACACUCUGGGACUUGUAGCACAGGCACUCGAGACCCCUCAGAACCUCCCAUGGGUGCCCACCCUGCAGCACUGCCAGGGAACACAUCAGGCCAUCUCUUCAACAAAACUGACCCCAAAGUCAGCCACACAAAAGGCCAAUACGGAAGUGCGCUUCUUCAUCUCCAACUCUGUCCAACUACCUUGUCCAGCCACACUUCCCAGAGAAGCCCCCAACAAACACAGCCAGUGGCAGCGACAAACACAGCCAUGGCCACACAGUCCCUGCACAUGGUUGCUUCCAGCAGGAGCAGGAGCAGGAGCAGUCGCCUGGUUUUCCAGGUGGUUUGAGAAAGCUGAACACCCCUGCCCCCCUCCCAGCAUAGUGUGUGGGUCCUGUGCAGGCCCAGCCACAGGUGCCUGGGCUCCUCUUCUGGCAGUGGCCAGCAGGGGAGCCUUCACGGAGAAAGGCCCAGUGCCCAGAGCACGCGGGACCUUGGAGGACUCUCCUCUCCUGCAGGGAGUCUGCUGUGGACCUGUGGUCGCUUUCUUCCUGUGUCUCUCACUGACUGAUCCAGGUCACCUGCCGAUUCAGAGUGCCACGUGGCCAUGCAGACGUGCAGAAGGUCGGCCAACAGUUAAGAGGCAGGGAAAGCCCAUCUCCCAGGCGUGGUCCACCAUCCAGCCAUUGGGGCCUCUACCACAGCAGCGCAUUCCUCUCUGCUUUAUUGCUGCACAUUUGCUUGAUGUGGCUGAAAUCCUACUACCUCAAAUGGUAACUGCUGUGUUGUCUAUUUUUGCUGCCCUCAAACAGAGGCAUCACAUUCUGUCUUGCGUCUGCCCUGCCAUUUAUAUGGCUUUGGGACACACAGUCCUUCCACAGAACUUGGUGCUGAAAGGUAAAGUAAUACAAGUGACAUUGUUUUGA
rnacentral:lncRNA from 1 species